rnacentral:rRNA from 1 species
GAGUUUGAUCUUGGCUCAGGAUGAACGCUGGCGGCGUGCCUAAUACAUGCAAGUCGUACGAACAGCGGAAAGUGCUUGCACUUUCCAAGUAAGUGGCGAACGGGUGAGUAACACGUGAAUAACCUACCUCAAAGUCUGGGGAUAACCAUUGGAAACAGUGACUAAUACCGGAUAAAACCUAGUAGCACAUGCUACAAGGUUAAAAGACUGCGUUUGCAGCGCUUUAAGAUGGAUUCGCGGUGCGAUUAGUUAGUUGGUGUAGGUAAAGG